rnacentral:lncRNA from 1 species
AGGGUACCAAUGUUCGUAGAUUAAGGAAAACUUACAUGUUCCUGGAUAUUUAUUUUUCGUGGUUUUGCUGAAGUCUGCAUACAAGCCUAUGGAACAUUUGUUAUUCAUUGAACAUAUAAUUUUGUGGUUCACCUGUAACCACGAAAGCCACAUAAAUUGGUAUCCAAUGAAUAAUGAUGAAUCCACAGUAUUAUAUCAACC